GACAGAGGAGGCGAGCGUUAUCCGGAGUCAUUGGGCGUAAAGGGUACGUAGGCGGCUAGUCAAGUCUGAGGUUAAAGACCACAGCUUAACUGUGGAAAGGCCUUGGAAACUGACUGGCUAGAGUGGGGCAGGGGUUGCGGGAAUUCCCGGUGUAGCGGUGAAAUGCGUAGAUAUCGGGAAGAACACCUGAGGCGAAAGCGCGCAACUGGGCCCUAACUGACGCUGCGGUACGAAAGCUAGGGGAGCGAAUUGG
rnacentral:rRNA from 1 species